CGGCUUCGGGUUCCGGCUCAGGCUAGGGCCGAGGGGUCGGGCCGAGCUGCGAGCAGGCGCCCGUCCUAGCGGUUGUUUCAGUUCUAAUAGUGCCAGGCGGCCCCAGAUUAAAUAAAACAACUCCUUUGGGUAGAGUCUGUGGCUUCCCCGUAAAGUGUGGCUGGGGAUACAGCUGCAAAACAGGUUGACGCUGCCUCCCCUUUAUGAACCUUUUGACUUAAGCAAGAUAAAGGCCCAUUCGGUCAGCUGGGAAGAUUUGAAUGAUUUUUUGAUCCAAGCUUCUUCAACCAGCUCUUUAAAUCCUUCUUUGAAACACGAGUUACAACCUGCAGAAACAUUAUCGAUGGACAAAAUGUAUGCCAGGUGUAAGGGUCAUAUCACAGAGCAGCCUAUGCCAACGCUACACCACCCAUGGAUUUCCCCAUACCAGGAGAAUCUACAGCUAAAUGGUUAAGCCAGCUUUGGGACCCUUUGCACCACUGGAGGAGCUAUGUUUUUGCCAGUACAAUGCUAACAUUUGUUCAGCUCUGAUAUGUCUCACUGGUUUUUAAAAGUUAUAUAAGGAUUGUGAAUCAAGAAAGAAUGUACUUUGUGUUUAUUAUAGUAUUUUGUGUUAAUCCUGAACAAUUCUAUUCUUCCUGUCUUAUGGGAGUCCUCUGAU